rnacentral:rRNA from 1 species
GAUGAACGCUGACAGAAUGCUUAACACAUGCAAGUCGACUGUGGCGUACGGGUGAGUAACGCGUAAAGAACUUGCCUCCCGGAUAGGGACAACCUUACGAAACGAAUGCUAAUACCUGAUACUGUGAGAGAGUUUAUCGGCCCGUUAGCUAGGUGGAGUGGUAACGGCUCACAAAGGCGAUGAUGGGUAGCCGGUCUGAGAGGGUGAACGGCCACAAGGGGAAUGAGAUCCAGCCGUGACUACGACGGUGGGAAGCAGUGGAGAAUAUCGGAGAAUGGACCAAAGGCUAUGCCGGCAAUUGUGUGGUAACGAUGAAGUUUUCGGAAGGAAAAGUGUUUUCAGUUGGGAAGCGGUACCAACAGAAGAAGUGACGGCUAAAUACGUGCCAGCAGCCGCGGUAAUUC